GACGAACGCUGGCGGCGUGCUUAACACAUGCAAGUCGAACGGACAGGCCCUGCUUUUGUGGGGUGCUCGAGUGGCGAACGGGUGAGUAACACGUGAGUAACCUGCACCUGACUUUGGGAUAACUUCUGGAAACUGGGGCUAAUAUCGGAUAGGAGCUCCUGCUGCAUGGUGGGGGUUGGAAAGUUUCGGCGGUUGGGGAUGGACUCGCGGCUUAUCCGCUUGUUGGUGUGGUAGUGGCUUACCAAGGCUUUGACGGGUAGCCGGCCUGAGAGGGUGACCGGCCACAUUGGGACUGAGAUACGGCGCAGAAUCCUACGGGAGGCAGCAGUGGAGAAUAUUGCACAAUGGGCGGAAGCCUGAUGCAGCAACGCCGCGUGCGGGAUGACGGCCUUCGAGGUGUAAACCGCUUUCGCCGGUGACGAAGCGUGAGUGACGGUAAUGGGUAAAAAAGCACCGGCUAACUACGUG
rnacentral:rRNA from 1 species